AGUGAACGCUGGCGGUAGGCCUAACACAUGCAAGUCGAACGGCAGCACAGUAAGAGCUUGCUCUUACGGGUGGCGAGUGGCGGACGGGUGAGGAAUACAUCGGAAUCUACUUUUUCGUGGGGGAUAACGUAGGGAAACUUACGCUAAUACCGCAUACGACCUACGGGUGAAAGCAGGGGAUCUUCGGACCUUGCGCGAUUGAAUGAGCCGAUGUCGGAUUAGCUAGUUGGCGGGGUAAAGGCCCACCAAGGCGACGAUCCGUAGCUGGUCUGAGAGGAUGAUCAGCCACACUGGAACUGAGACACGGUCCAGACUCCUACGGGAGGCAGCAGUGGGGAAUAUUGGACAAUGGGCGCAAGCCUGAUCCAGCCAUACCGCGUGGGUGAAGAAGGCCUUCGGGUUGUAAAGCCCUUUUGUUGGGAAAGAAAAGCAGCAGGCUAAUACCCCGCUGUUCUGACGGUACCCAAAGAAUAAGCACCGGCUAACUUCGUGC
rnacentral:rRNA from 1 species